rnacentral:rRNA from 1 species
UUUAUGGAGAGUUUGAUCCUGGCUCAGGACGAACGCUGGCGGCGUGCUUAACACAUGCAAGUCGAACGGGAUGAUCUUAAAGCUUGCUUUUAGAGAAUCUAGUGGCAAACGGGUGAGUAACACGUAGACAACCUGCCGACAGGAUGGGGACAACAUUCCGAAAGGAAUGCUAAUACCGAAUGAAGUCAGAGGAGGGCAUCCUCCUCUGAUGAAAGAUGGCCUCUGAAUAUGCUAUCACCUGUUGAUGGGUCUGCGUCUGAUUAGCUAGUUGGUGAGGUAACGGCUCACCAAGGCGACGAUCAGUAGCCGGUCUGAGAGGAUGAACGGCCACAUUGGGACUGAGACAC